GUUUGAUCAUGGCUCAGGACGAACGCUGGCGGCGUGCUUAACACAUGCAAGUCGAACGGGAGUACUUUGAAAGCUUGCUGAUGAGUACUUUAGUGGCGGACGGGUGAGUAACGCGUGAGGAGCUGUCCUAUGCAGGGGGACAACAGUUGGAAACGGCUGCUAAUACCCCAUAAGCCGAGAGGUAAAAGGAGCGAUCCGGCAGAGGAGGCACUCGCGUCCUAUCAGCUAGUAGGUUGGGUAACGGCCGACCUAGGCGAAGACGGGUAGCCGGCCUGAGAGGGCGAACGGCCACACUGGAACUGAGAUACGGUCCAGACUCCUACGGGAGGCAGCAGUGGGGAAUAUUGGGCAAUGGGGGCAACCCUGACCCAGCGACGCCGCGUGGGUGAAGAAAUCCUUCGGGAUGUAAAGCCCUGUUGUAUGGGAAGAGCAGAAGACGGUACCAUACGAGGAAGCCCCGGCAAACUACGUGCCAGCAGCCGCGGUAAUACGUAGGGGGCGAGCGUUGUCCGGAAUUACUGGGCGUAAAGCGCACGCAGGCUGAAUUAUAAGUCGGUAGUAAAAGGCGGAGGCUCAACCUCCGUUUAUCUAUCGAUACUGUAAAUCUAGAGUAUGUGAGAGGGAAGUGGAAUUCCCGGUGUAGCGGUGAAAUGCGUAGAUAUCGGGAGGAACACCAGUGGCGAAGGCGACUUCCUGGCACAAUACUGACGCUCAUGUGCGAAAGCUAGGGUAGCGAACGGGAUUAGAUACCCCGGUAGUCCUAGCCGUAAACGAUGGAUACUAGGUGUGGGUGUCGCAGGGCAUCCGUGCCGCAGCUAACGCGUUAAGUAUCCCGCCUGGGGAAUACGGUCGCAAGACUGAAACUCAAAUGAAUUGACGG
rnacentral:rRNA from 1 species